rnacentral:rRNA from 1 species
CUACGGGGUGCUGCAGUGGGGAAUAUUGCACAAUGGAGGAAACUCUGAUGCAGCAACGCCGCGUGGAGGAUGACACUUUUCGGAGCGUAAACUCCUUUUAUAUAGGAAGAAGAUGACGGUACUAUAUGAAUAAGCGCCGGCUAACUCCGUGCCAGCAGCCGCGGUAAUACGGAGGGCGCAAGCGUUACUCGGAAUCACUGGGCGUAAAGAGCGUGUAGGCGGAUUAACAAGUCAGAAGUGAAAUCCUAUAGCUUAACUAUAGAACUGCUUCUGAAACUCUUAAUCUAGAAUAUGGGAGAGGUAGAUGGAAUUUCUGGUGUAGGGGUAAAACCCGUAGAGAUCAGAAGGAAUACCGAUUGCGAAGGCGAUCUACUAGAACAUUAUUGACGCUGAGACGCGAAAGCGUGGGGAGCAAACAGGAUUAGAUACCCGCGUAGUC